rnacentral:rRNA from 1 species
UAACGCAUGCAAGUCGAGCGAUGAGGCUCCCUUCGGGGAGUCAUCAGCGGCAGACGGGUGAGUAACACGUAGAUAACCUGCCCUCAAGACGGGGACAACCGGUGGAAACAGCGGCUAAUACCCGAUAUGCUCACAGGAUCGGGAGGUCGAGUGAGGAAAGGCUUCGGUGCUUGAGGAGGGAUCUGCGGCCCAUCAGCUAGUUGGUGAGGUAACGGCUCACCAAGGCGAAGACGGGUAGGGGGUGUGAGAGCAUGGCCCCCCACAAUGGGACUGAGACACGGCCCAUACUCCUACGGGAGGCAGCAGCGGGGAAUAUUGCGCAAUGGACGGAAGUCAGACGCAGCGACGCCGCGUGGGUGAGGAAGGCCUUCGGGUUGUAAAGCCCUUUUCAGGGGAGCGAGAAAGGACGGUACCCUUGGAAUAAGCGUCGGCUAACUACGUGCCAGCAGCCGCGGUAAGACGUAGGACGCAAGCGUUAUCCGGAUUUACUGGGCGUAAAGCGCCUGUAGGCGGUCAAGUAAGUCGGAUGUGAAAGCCCCGUGCUCAACGCGGGGAAGCCAUUCGAUACUGCGUGACUAGAGAACGGCAGAGGGAAACGGAAUUUCUGGUGUAGCGGUAAAAUGCGCAGAGAUCAGAAAGAACACCGAUGGCGAAGGCAGUUUCCUAGGCCGCAUCUGACGCUGAGAGGCGAAAGCUAGGGGAGCAAACAGGAUUAGAGACCCUGGUAGUCCUAGCUGUAAACGAUGGAUGCUAGGUGUGGGCCGGAAAGGUCCGUGCCGUAGUUAACGCGAUAAGCAUCCCGUCUGGGGAGUACGGCCGCAAGGCUUAAAACUCAAACGAAUUGACGGCGACCCGCACAAGCAAGCGGAGCGUGUGGUUUAAUUCGAUGCUACACGCAGAAC